UGAUAGAGGCGCGGCUGACAAGAGUAGCUCCAGGCAAACGGCAGAGGACCGGGGAGCGAAAGGGGAGGCCGCCGAAGGGUCGAUCAGAUCCCUGUUUGAUCGAUGCCUGGGCCGUCGGGGAACACCCGCCGGACUGUCGUCCGCAAGGACGGAGUGCUGUCA
rnacentral:ncRNA from 1 species